AACAGCUUCACAUAGGAGUGAUGAUUCAGUGGACUCCUGACCAGAUCACUAGAGGAUCUCCUCCCCCUAAAGACUGUGGACCUCACCACCAAGGAAUUUCACUCAAACACCUACCAGCACAUUAAUAUAAUAUCAUGCUCUGUCUACAACUGUGCAGAACCCCUGAUGGACCCACAAAUUUAGGGGAUGCUGACCUGGCUUGCAACUUCCUGAGUGGGGAGAGGUGUGUGGAGGCCCCGGAACAG